rnacentral:rRNA from 1 species
GACGAACGCUGGCGGCGUGCUUAACACAUGCAAGUCGAACGGAAAGGCCCUGCUUUUGUGGGGUGCUCGAGUGGCGAACGGGUGAGUAACACGUGAGUAACCUGCCCUUGACUUUGGGAUAACUUCAGGAAACUGGGGCUAAUACCGGAUAGGAGCUCCUGCUGCAUGGUGGGGGUUGGAAAGUUUCGGCGGUUGGGGAUGGACUCGCGGCUUAUCAGCUUGUUGGUGGGGUAGUGGCUUACCAAGGCUUUGACGGGUAGCCGGCCUGAGAGGGUGACCGGCCACAUUGGGACUGAGAUACGGCGCAGACUCCUACGGGAGGCAGCAGUGGGGAAUAUUGCACAAUGGGCGGAAGCCUGAUGCAGCAACGCCGCGUGCGGGAUGACGGCCUUCGGGCUGUAAACCGCUUUCGCCUGUGACGAAGCGUGAGUGACGGUAAUGGGUAAAGAAGCACCGGCUAACUACGUG